rnacentral:rRNA from 1 species
GCUCAGAUUGAACGCUGGCGGCAGGCCUAACACAUGCAAGUCGAGCGGUAGCACAAGAGAGCUUGCUCUCUGGGUGACGAGCGGCGGACGGGUGAGUAAUGUCUGGGAAACUGCCUGAUGGCGGGGGAUAACUAGUGGAAACGGUAGCUAAUACCGCAUAACGUCGCAAGACCAAAGUGGGGGACCUUCGGGCCUCACGCCAUCAGAUGUGCCCAGGUGGGAUUAGCUGGUAGGUGGGGUAACGGCUCACCUAGGCGACGAUCCCUAGCUGGUCUGAGAGGAUGACCAGCCACACUGGAACUGAGACACGGUCCAGACUCCUACGGGAGGCAGCAGUGGGGAAUAUUGCACAAUGGGCGCAAGCCUGAUGCAGCCAUGCCGCGUGUGUGAAGAAGGCCUUCGGGUUGUAAAGCACUUUCAGCGAGGAGGAAGGGUAAUGUGUUAAU